rnacentral:ncRNA from 1 species
GGCGGGGCUGCGGGCGGUAAAAGACCCAAGAACCAAGGGUAAAAACCAACCAACCUCACCAAACCUCGCGUUGAUCACUCGAGCGGGUGAAACGCGUCGAACGGGCUGGCGCGGCGGUGGUGCGGGCGGGCAGUCUCGGCACGAGAGCGACCGAAGCAACUCGGCCUCCCCACAAGCCCCUACAUGCAUCGGCCCCCGCCGGGACUGCCAUCCCAGGGCGAGGGCCUGACCAACGAGGAAGCAGGACCUUCCCC